rnacentral:rRNA from 1 species
UACGGGAGGUAGCAGUGGGGAAUAUUGCACAAUGGGCGAAAGCCUGAUGCAGCUAUGCCGCGUGUAUGAAGAAGGCCUUAGGGUUGUAAAGUACUUUCAUCGGGGAGGAAAAACAAAACUAAUAAUUUUAUUUCUUGACGUUACCCGAAAAAGAAGCACCGGCUAACUCCGUGCCAGCAGCCGCGGUAAUACGGAGGGUGCUAGCGUUAAUCAGAAUUACUGGGCGUAAAGAGCACGUAGGUGGUUUUUUUAAGUCAGAUGUGAAAUCCCUGGGCUUAACCUGGAACUGCAUUUUGAAACUGAAAUACUAGAGUAUCGUAGAGGGAGGUAGAAUUCUAGGUGUAGCGGUGAAAUGCGUAGAUAUCUGGAGGAAUACCUGUGGCGAAAGCGGCCUCCUAAACGAAUACUGACACUGAGGUGCGAAAGCGUGGGGAGCAAACAGGGAUUAGAUACC